rnacentral:lncRNA from 1 species
UUUUUCUGCAAAGAGAAGACAAGGUAGGGAAGCCUUGUUCUGAGAUGUGGCAUUCUCACAAACCACAAGGCUGGGAUCUUUAUAUCACUUGGAAACUUUUGGAUGGAGAGGCACCUGGGUGGCUCAGUGGUUGAUCAGCUGCCUUCAGCUCAGGGUGUGAUCCUGGGGUCCUGGGAUCCAGUCCUGCAUUGGGCUCCCUGCAGGGAGUCCCUCUGCCUGUGUCUCUGUCUCUCUCUGUAUCUUUCAUGAAUAAAUAAAUAAAAUCUUAAAAAAAAAAUAAAAAGAAAGAAAGAAACUUUUGGAUGGAGUCCAGCUCUUUCCCAUUGGGGAAUAUCCACUGAGGCUGGGUCCUCCCAUGGCCAUGCUCAGGAACUCCUUUUAUUAAGAACCUGUCUUUCUCCCUGUCUCUUUGCAGUUCCACAGGUAUGGGGGAAAGAAAAGACUUCUUUUAAUGUACUGAAAAUAACAUCCACUUAAAAGUGCUGCAUCUCAAUGUAGUAUCUCAUUUUUCUGGUAGUCUUGGUGAGAUUACAGACACGUAAAUAUUUCAGAUUCCUAAAAUUUUCCUACCAUAAGCACCAGACUCACUAUCAAAGGUAUUGCCACUUGUCUUUAAAAGUAGACGCUACAGAGCAUAAUAUUUGAUGAUUCAGUCUUUCAGAUAAGACUCUGGCUGAUACCAUGUUGUAACAAUAGAAGUGAGUGCUUCUCUGGUCUCUCACUAUGGGUCAGGUACCGUUUUAAGUCCCCUGCAGCUUCAAGUAAUUUACUUCCACGUUUAUUUCCAUACAACCCUGUGACAUAGGUACAGUGUUUGUCUUCAUUUCACAGAGAGGAAACUGAAGCACAGAGAGGUUGAGAAACUUGUCUGAGACUGUAAAGUAGCCUAUAGAAGAGCUGGGGUUCAGACAUUUGCAGCGGGGUUCUGAAUCUGUGUCGUUAGCCACCAUGUGCUGCUCUUCUCUGCCCCUCUCGUGGUGGGUCCCUUUGAGCUAGUGAAGGCUGUUGGCUCUGCUCUUGUGCAUUUUGUGUUGUUACAUCUGUAUGUGAAGGUGUCUCCUUAAGCUUCCCUGCUGCCAUCUACUAGUUGUUUUCAUCCUUUCUGCCUUUUAAUUUGCUGCUACUCCUUGGAUUUGGACUUGGGAAAUCAGCAUAAAAAAAGCUGAUUAGAAUUGCAUAUUGUCACCACUUGCUGCUCUCUUAUGCGAAAAUUGUAUGAGCAACAGUACAUGGAAUCUGUGGAUUUUGUUUUUAAUCUCUGCAAGUCUUGGUUCUGGAUAAGGAAGGAACCCCAGCAUUUUGUAAGUGCCAAGUAAUAAAAACAACACUAAUAGUUAUUUGUUGAGUAUCUACUGUCGUGCUGUACUACAUACUUAACCUCUGUUUCCUUAUGUCAAAUCCUUGCCAGCUCCUAAAGUGGGGAUCAUGCUCCCCAUAUUCACAGAAGAAGGAAGGAGGUCUCUGAGAGGUUAAGAGACUUAACCAGUUUUUACUCAGCUAAUAAGCUAAAACUCAGGUGCAGGACUUGCUGACUCCAAAGCCCUGGCUUCUCAUUCUACCCUUUUGCCCUAAGUAUUACUCUGUUUUCUUUACAAACAUUAUUUCGAUUGAAAUGACCUUGCUUGUUGUUAGCUUAAUUACUACAGUGCAUUUAGACACAUGCUUUGAAGUGUGGACUUAGAGCACAAAGUGGUCUGAGGCUUUAUAUUAGAAACAGUAUAAGAGAUUUUUGAAGGGUUGUUUUAAACAUCAUUCAGUCAUGUUUGUGAUCCCAAUAGAUAUGAAACAUUGGAGUGAAAUGUGUCUACACUCUGGAGGUCCAACCAGGCAUUGUUGCUAUGGGGCAUGGGACACGGAUGAGGGUGAGGAAAUGGGAACGACCAGCAAGAGAUGAACCAAGAGACAUUUUGGAUAUGGAAUGAACAGAAGUUUUUACCUUAUUGGGAAGUGGUGAUGAAGGAAGUGUCGGGAAUGAUUUUUAAAUUUCUGAUUUAUUUGAAUUGGUGAAAGAGAUUUUAUGCCCUGAGAUGUGGAAUAUAACAGAUGGAAUGACUUUUAAGGGGGAAUGGAUGGGAGUUUUAUUUUAAACAUUGAAGUGUGAUGAACUUGUAGGAUGCCCAGAAAGAAGUGCUCAGCUGAAAUCUGACAAAAAGGGCCUAUUUUCUGAUUAUCGUCAUAGUUAAUGGGGAUUCUACAGGUUCCUGAUGAGCAGGUUGGUGUUUUUGAUGAAGGUGGAUUGUCAUGUGUAUCAAACAUUUUUGGAUUGCUUCUCCAGCAUUCUUUUUCCCUUUGGGCUUUCUUAAAAUCACUCAGAUCUGCUUCUAGAGAACUCCUCUUUUUUCAUUCUCAGCCAAGCUCUUUGAAUGGGAUUGAUAUACCCUCUACUCAGUAGGCAGGCCUUUAGCAUUUGAGCUCAUUACCACAUCCCUCUCCUGACUCCUGAGGGUUGGUUUUAUCAGUUGAGAUGCUUUGAGUUGCAAAUAACACGGUAUCUGAGUAAAAGUGUCAUAAGAACUAGGAGAUUAUUCUCCCAAGAAGAUUUCUGGAAGAAGGCAGCUCCAAGGCUUUUUCCAUGAUUCAAUAAAGUCAAUCUCUAGAUCAGCCUAAGAUUUUCAUUGUCACAAGAUAGCUGCCACAGUCUCAAAUAUCACUUCCUUCUGUAACAGCAUCCAAAAAAGGGUAGACAGAGUAGAUGUCUACUUACAUUUCUCUUUAAGAGGAAAAUCUUUUCCAGAGGUCUUAAGUAGACUUCUCUAAAGGUUCUAUUGAGCAGAAUUGCCCAAGCCCUAAAGCAGUCAUUGGAAAAAGCAGUGGUACUAUUAUGAUUGACUUAGUCCAACUAUGGUUUAUCCCUUAAGACUGAGGGAGUGGCUCACUUCCCUGAGCUGACUGCUGCUCUAUACUUGAACAAAAUCAAGGUUCUGCUAUCAAGGAGGAAGGGGAUACCAGCUAUUGGAUAGGCAACAUAUAGUCUGUUGCACUGGGUCUAUGAUUUAGUAGACACAAGUAGAACUUUGCAGAGGCAUCCUUCCUGCAAGAACUUCCGUGCUCUUCUAAGAGACCUAUAAACACUCUUUUUCUAUGGAUGAUGUGAUAAUGCGGCUCUGAUAUCUAAAACUGCUGCAGCUACUCCGAAGGGAGUGCACCUGAGGAAAAAGACAAUAACACAAGAGUAGGGAAUGCAAAAUAUAGUGGGAGCCUUGAGUUUAUGGUAGAUUUCUGGAUCAAACUGUAGCUGAAGCUGGCUAUACUGCAGGGUGUCCAGUUAUAAAAGAAAAGCCAUUCUCUAUUUUUGCUUAAGCCAUGUUGGGCUAGGUUUUCUGUUACAUGCAGUAUGAACAAUUUUUAUAGUAAAAGCAUUGGGAAUUUGAGCAAUGAGGCCUGUUCUUUCUGCCCUAAUGAGGAGGACUGACCUCAUUUUCAGUUAAAUAGUGUUGAAAAAAAAAUAGUGUUGAACAUGAUUGGUAAAAUUCUAAUAUGCUUUUUAUCUUUGUAGCAAGGAACUUUUAUUUACUCCAGACAACUAGAGGAAUACCUCUCUAUUUGAAGAAGGCAAUGAGGACAAGAUAGCUAUAUUGCCCUAGAGACAUGUAACUUCGAAGUUCUGUGAGAAAUAUAAAUAGGUCCCCUCUAAAAUCUUCUAUACUUAGUGAAUAGAGAAACACUAUUUUUCAUUUUCCCUGCCCAAAUGAUUCUUCCAGAUAGUACUCAAGUAAGCUGCCCUAUUAGAGAUUAAAUGAGGCAUUCAUAACACAUACCCUUAAAUCCAUGAUCUGCUCUUAUUAGGCUUAAAAAGUGGUGCCUUACUUAUGAACACAAAUGUCAGUGUGUCUUAUAACUGCUUAUUUCAGCUCUCCACAUCUUUAUCUUCUUCGAAUAGCUGGCAACUUGAUAAUAUUUUAUUUUUGUCUUUAAGAGUGAUUUAGUUUAAAAUAAGCAAAUAGGUAAGCAAAAAGGGCUUCCUGCCUGCUUCUUCAAAAUGAGCAAUGCCUCUGUCCUCAGGGGCUGUCAGAUUUAUGUCCUUAGAUGAACAGUAAUUACAUUAAUAACUUUAAGAGCUAAUUAGCAUUUUAUAGUAAACACAUUGUUCGUUGCACUAAGGGGAGGGAUGGCUGUAUCCUUUCAGUGGAAUAAUUGCUUUUCGAAAUCAGAGCCCAUUUAUCUUAAAUUCAGCGAUACGUGCCAUGGCCCGGCCAAGAGGACCCUUGUGUGCUGAUUCUGUGCUGAUUCUUCCCGAGCCCCAGUCUGGUUAAUUCUCAUGACAAAAACUGCAGAAACUCAAACAGGAAAAUGUGAAUUAACUUCAGUUUCUAACGUGUGAACCAAGGAAAGCAUCCGGUACCUUGUCAUCUCUUCUUCACAUGCUUCACUUUUUCCAAUGUUUUUCUCCUUUCGUUUUGAGAAAAUGUGUUUGCCAAAGUGUUUAUAUACCCCGUUCAGUCUGAGACACCCCCCCCCCUCCGGCUCCUGGGCUCCGUACAGUGCAGGAAGGUACUAGGUACUACAUUAUUGCAGCAAGUCCUGGAAGUACACUUUGACUUUGCAAGCUUACAGCUAACCAUGGAUAAAUUUAAGACUUUUCAUCAGGAUAUUGACGCUCUUCCCCAGAAGCCCCCUUUUGGAAGUUUUCUCUGCCUGUAGCCACUUUCAGUACUUCCCUUAACCCAUGGUUGCAGCAACUCCAAAUCGACAGUCUUGUCAGAACGAAUGAUCUAAAAUAAACAUCCUCUUGUCCGCCUGCAUGACUAAUCCUGACAUGGAUGCUUUGCCCAUAUCAGCCAUGAGUCAGUUGUCCUUAGAAGCGCUCUGCUCAUUGUGUUGGUCCAGUAGCAGAGGAGGGCACAGAGAAGGUCUGCGAAGGGCUCAUGACGUUACAAUCCAAAUUAAAUCAUCAAAGGACUCCUCCCCCCUCCACCACCACUUUCUCCCUCCUGGCAGCCUUCUCGGUGGCAAUGGUUACCUCAUUUACACAAAACCCUUAGAGUUGGUCAACAAAUCACGUUAGAACCCCAAUAACCAUUUGAUGUGUACCAAAGACACUAGACAAGAGAGAAAAUGUAAAUCUCAGGUCUACAGUUUUACAAGUUGAGGCUCUCCUCUGAUGUUUUCUUUGCUACUCAGAGCGCUCUAAAACUUUGAUAUCUUAGGGAUUCAUAGUGGGAACUAUCUAACGGUACUGACAAAUAUCAACUAAUAAUAGACAUUCUGUCUCUUUGGUCCUCAAGAAGAUUUUGUCGGUUUUUCUUCACUCUUAUUAAGCUUAACGCUGUGAGCCUAAAGAAUAGAAAGAGAAGAGUUGCUAAGUUUGUGUAUUCCAGGUCUCAAAACCAGGGAAAUCAAUGUGAGACUAUGAAGAGAUUUUUUUCUAUUCAUGUUUUAAGGUUUGUUAUCCUCUAUAAAGCCAUUAAAAUUCGACAUUACAGUUUUGCAAAGAGCCUUAACAAAAAUUUUGAGGGAGUGUAGUGAUGCUUCAAAGCUGCUGAAAUUAUAUGUGCCUAGCACAAAUUAAGUAGAAAUUGCUUGAUUAUUAGGCUUAUCUGAUCAAUUAAAAUAGCCAAUUGGAAUAAAAGAAAUCCACUUUUGUGCCGUAAUUAUCUGAACUGAUUGUCUGUGUCACACUUUCUGAGUCAUUAUCAUUUUUAUACAUCAUUUCAAGAGAUACAGACAGCCUAAAAGCUUGCAAAUUAGUUUUUUUAUAAAGGAAAAAACCUAAUUGUGGAUGUUAUUCUUAAAUUUUCAUUUUAUAUCAUAUUUAGGCAUCUCAGAAAGUCUUUAAUACUAUGGGAAAACUACUGAGGGGGAGAAAAAAAGGCCACCAUCCAAAUUUAUCACAAGAUCUACUUAAAUUGCUACAUGUUCUCUCUUAGACUAUUUGCAGUAUAUAUUCUAUUCUUGGUAAGUAGCCCUGAGUGUCUCAUAUUAAUUCUGCCUGGAGUGUGGUUGUUUCCUUAAAAUACAUCCCAAGUCACACUUAAGCUCAAGUGCCAAAUGCCAGGCCUUUAGAAACUAAAACAACUACAACAACAACAACACCGAACUGUUUUUCUCAUACCCACCUGAUUAUUUUGGUCAUAUUUGAUCUAACUCAGAGCUGUUACUAAAGAGUAUAAGGACGGUCAUCAUCCUUGGUGGUUAACUUUGUGUGUUAACUUGACUGGGCCACCAGGUGUCCAAAUAUUUGGUUAAGUGGGUAUGUCUAUGAGGAUGUUUCUAGAUGAGAUUAACAUUUGAAUCAGUAGAUGGAGUAAAGCAAGUAUCUCUUCCCAAUGUGAGUUGGCCUCCAAUCCACCCAGGGCCCGAACAGAACCAAAAAGGCUGAGUAAGAAAGAGCUUACUCUUUCGGAGUGUCUCGGAGCUGAGACAUUGGUCUUCUCCUGCCUUCAGGAACUCAGACUAGAAUUUAUACCCUUGGUUUUCCCGGGCCUCCAUUUUGCCAAGUGCAGAUCUCAGGACUUACACAGCCUCCAUAGUCAUGUAAGCCAAUUUCUUAUAAUAUAUACCUGUACUGUUUUGGUUCUUUUCUCUGGAGAACUGUGUCUACUACAUCAGCUAACCAAAGUCAACAUAAUGUUGAAAAUGAAGCUAUUUCAUAAGACUAUUGUGUUAAGAUUUAAUUUUUAAUAUUCACAGAAGUAUAUAAUCUCAUCUUGAUAGAAUGAACCAAUCUAGUAGGUGAGCAAUCUACUGUUUAGCAUUGUAGUCUUUUCUGAUGUAACAGAGCCCUUUUGGCCCUUGGGGAUCUGCAAGAAAGGCAGGGAUGUCAAAUAUGCAUAGGUUUCUGAGGGGAAGAGUAACACAGAUCCAAUAUAUAGUUUCAUCCCCCAAGAUUUAGACCCAAUGGUCUAAAAACAAAUAAAUGGCAGUACUGGGGAACCCAAGGUAAAGGGCCCAGAUAAGGACCUGCUGGCUGUCCCUUGUUCCAUUGUAAUAGAGUUUAUCUGGGUACAUGAUUGCCCUGUUAGAGAUUGCAUUUCCCAGAUUCCCUUGCAGCUGGAUGUGGCCAUGAGACUCCGUUCUCUCCCCCAUUCUCUCCAGUGAAAUGUAAAUAGAUGUGCAAGUACAACUUCUGCAAGUGAUUGUCUAGAAAGAUAUUACUUGUUCCAAACUUCUUUUUUUUCCCACUUUUCCUGUGAGAGCCAUAGACUGGAAAAGGGAUGUGGGGGUGAACUCAACUUUGUGUCAAUUCUAAGGGUUCCAAGUUGAAAGGAAUGCAUGUCUGUGAGUGGCCUCAGGGAGCGGUGUUGCCUCAUGUUCUGUAUAAAAGAGAAAUAAACUUCCAGUCUGUGUUUUUGUUGUUGUUAUAUCAGCUAAUCUUUAUUCAGCCUUGCUAAUACUUAAUUAGCUUAAUGAAACCUUACUUAGCAGAAUCUCUAGGCUUACCUGAUACUUCUCUAUCAAUAACUUAACUCUAUGCCUGCAUUCACACCUGUUCCUCACCACGGUCACCCUGAUUGCUGAUCUUUUGGGGGCUGUUGUGCCCUGAAAUAGCUCAUAUGUUACACAGAAAAUCUUGUAAGUAAGUGGAAGCUACACCUCCAAAAGGAUGUAUAUAUACUAAACUUAUUUUACUCAUAAAGAAACUGCCUGGAAAGUGGAAGUUGAAAGCUUAAGCUUUUUAGCAUAUUUAUUUUCUCAUUCUCCUUCUGUCUGUCUUUGUGUCCGUUUUUCUGACUCCUUCACACAUACACUCACUCUGUGUAUAUUUUAAUAAUUAGAUUAGAACAGCUAAUCACAGAUUCAGUAAGAGGCAAUGUCUUUUUUAAAAGGAAAGGUCAGAUUGGAAAACUUCAGUUUUCAAGAGCAUCAACACCUAAGAAGCUGUGCUUCUUAUAACAUAUUUAUAUUAAUGCUAGAAAUCUCUCUUAGAUAAUAACAAAAAUACUACUAGUAGUUUGAUGGAAAGUGACUUUCUGAUGGAAAAAUAAUAGAUGCAUGAGGAUAUUUUAUAACCAAAUAUAAACCAAAACCCAUACAAAUAUAUAUGUAAAAAUUCAUUGGUUUUCCUAAAAAUGCUGCCUAUAGAGAAUUGAGUACUGUUGCCUUGUAUCUUUUAUACAUUUGAUAGGAAAAUCAGGAUAAGGAACCAACUGAUAUGUGUAGAUCUAUGCAUUCUUUUGACCUGUGAACAGGAUCUGCUGGAAUUGACUUGGAGAUGAGCUGAUUUCACACCUCAUAAUUGGCCCACAGAAAAUCUUGGUGGCUCUACUCUAUUGUAGGGAUAGAGAGCACAUGUUAGUGUGCUCUUAUUAAAUUAAAUUUAUUUUUAAAAAAUAUUUGUAAGCCAGAACUUCAUUAUAUUAAAGAAUAUAUUCUAUCAAUGGGGUAACGGUUGAUAUCUGGCCAAUAAUAUGUUAAUAUGUAUUUUAUGAUCAAGUGAAUCAUAUUUUCAGCAGAUACUUUUCUUAAGUCAAGAGGUAACUCUUUCCUGUUCCCCCUGGAUGUGGUUUAAGGCUAGACUGCUUCCCCACUGAGAGGUUACAGAGUUACAGACAGUAUUUAUUGGUUUAUGACUGAUUUAUAUAUUACUUGAUUUAUAUAUAUUUAUAAAUAUUUGUUAAUAAAUUAUGCAAUAUAUAUCCUACACUAUAGGUUUAGUCAUUCUUAAGUAACCUAAUGUUUUUAUUGUCUUUAUUAAGGCUUACAUUAAUAUUAUUAAUAUUUAUUAUUUAUUAUUAUUAUUGCUAAAGACACCUAAAUGGAGUGGAUAAAACUGAUAAAUAGUAAAAUAAGAUGGCUUAUUAUUAAUGAUAACAAUAAGACCAGAGUGGGUAGGCCAGGAAAGGAACACAUCUACAAAAUGUGUAAGACCCAUGUCUUUCACUUGUACUUGCUUCGUGUAGACAGAUCACUACUGACCUAAAUCUGCCUUCAGUAGAUAACUGGCGGCUCAGAUCUUCAAGUACAGGAGAAUCUAAAAACUCUGAAAGUAUUUAGAAAUGAUUUAAACAAAAUUUUUCAUGAGUUUAAAAAGGGGGGGGUAGAUAAUUUUCUGUAAAAUGCUAAUUGAUCUCUUCUUAGUGUUUUGAAAAACAGAUGUAAGCAGAAUAUAAAAAUGUUUCUUACCAAAGACGUGUUCAAUUUUUUGAAAUUGUAAUAUAUAUCAGUGGAUAUUACAUCAAUACACAUCAAUAUUUUCUGUUUGAUGAAAAUAUACAUCAAUAUUUUCUUUUUGAAAAUAGUAAUAUUUUUGGUCACAGUUUCUGUUCAAACUAAAACCUAAAGUUUUAUGGUUUUAUUUUUUAGAUUGAAAAAUUACCUUUUAAAGAGUUGUAGGAAUUUCCCCCCAUUUGGAACAGACCAUCCUUUUAUUCUUGGAGGAAUAUAUAAUAUACAAUCAUGGAAUAUUCAACUGUGGUGGAUAUUAUUAGUUAUGCGAAAAUAAAGCAAAUACCAACCCUUAGGCAAUUCAAUAAAAAUGCUUUACACUGAAGUGUUAAGAGUUGUGUUAAAUAAUGGAGAUUUGCUGUAUUAUUUAUGGUUUUAUGGAGUAAAGUUGAUGAAUACCCCUGCCCCCAACACGCACAUUCUAAAUUUAAAUACAGAUGCUCUAUGCUUGAAAAUUAUAAUUUGAGCUAGAUAGGAUUUCAAGUUAAGCCAGGACUCAGAGAGAAAGACACAUCUGAUUUUCUUGUCACUUCAUCUUAGAGAAAAGAUUAUAGCAGAGAGCGGAAGAUAAUUCAGAAUUUUUGGGAAAACUGUACUGACAGACUUGGACUUUUAUUGUCUGGGCCACGGUGCCAAAUUAGUCUCCUAGUCUUUGACAACAUGGUUUCCCUUGAGAAGAAUGAAUGUCUGGGGGAAGGUUAAUGUCUUCAGACAUGGAGUAAGACAUGAAAUGGGCCUUGGAUUUAGAAGGGCAACGUUCUCCAUGUCUGAUGGGGGCUCAAUUGGUCCCAGAUACCAAGGCAAGGUGGUAGGUGGUGACUUUUUGGAAAUGGGUGAUUCUAGUCCAGCAAGUUUAGGGCCCUAGGCUUUAAAAGCAGCCACUUUAGGGAUCCCUGGGUGGCGCAGUGGUUUGGCGCCUGCCUUUGGCCCAGGGCGCGAUCCUGGAGACCCGGGAUCGAGUCCCACAUCGGGCUCCCGGUGCAUGGAGCCUGCUUCUCCCUCUGCCUGUGUCUCUGCCUCUUUCUCUCUCUCUCU